CGAAAUCAUAAUCCAAACUCCCAACCAAACAAAAAUUCAUUUAACUUGAAGAAUCUAAAAACAUAAAACAGAAUCUAAGUUGUCUACCAAACAAGCCCAAAACUUUUCAUUUGAUGAAAUAUAAAAGAGACCAAAGUUCAAGGAUAAGAACCCCACAUGGAAACAAAGAAAUCAACAAAAGAAAAAAAAAUUUUAAAAACGCGACAGAUCUCAAAUUUUAUCCAUAAAACGAGACUAAUGCUCAAAGUAGAUGAGAGUUACACAAAGAGCACCCAAAUGGAGAGAUCGAUGAUCAACAACUACACCCGACUAUCUCAACAAGGUUGACAUCAUAUCCACCAAAAAAACUAACAGCAAAAGAUCAAUUAUAGAAAAGGCUAAAUUCACCCCUCCCCCAAAUCUUGAGGGAACAAUGAUAACCCAUACAAGAAACGGAGAGGAAGAAAAGAAAUACAAAGAUACAACCAACGUACAAACUAUAGGAAAAAUCUAACGAUUGGGAGAAAUAAAGAACCCCAAUUUAAGUUAAUCUCCAACAUGCUAUAAGCUUCAAAAUUUUUAUUUAGGGAACACCAAAGUGAAGCAUUAUGUGCAUCUUUUUCUUUAUACACUCGUGUCUCCAACUCCCACCCACGAUCUAUCUCCUUCCUUGUCUGUCCUUAAUCGUCCACCAAUAAUUAAAGUCUACUUUCGUCGGCGACAACUUCCAAGUGAAUGUUAUGUCCCAAAAAACUCUUUGUUAUCAAAUCCAGAACCAAGUGAUGAGCUGCUCAUUGCCCUUCGUAAAGGUAAACAUUGUUGCACUUAUCCUAUUGAUUCUUGUGUAUCUCAUGACUAAUUAUCAUCUCCUUCAUGUUAGUUUGUUAGAUCUCUCGACUCCGUCUUGAUACCAAGGACCAUUCAUGAAGCUUUGUCUCAUUCUCAGUGGCGCAAAGCAAUGAUUGAAGAGGUGAAUGCCCUAGAUAAUAAUGGUACUUGGGAUUUAGAAUCUAUUUCGGUAGGAAAGAAGAUUGUAGGAUGUAAAUGGGUGUUCGUAAUUAAGGUUAAUCCCGAUAGAUCAAUAGCUCGUUUAAAAGCACACCUAGUAGCUAAAGGUUAUGCUCAGACGUAGGGAGUUGAUUACUUUGACACAUUCUCGAUUGUUGCUAAACUCUCUUCAGUUAGGUUAUUCAUUUCUAUCUCGGCAUCCCAAGAUUGGCCCUUAAAUUAACUUAAAAUAAAAAAUGAUUUUCUCCAUGGUGAUCUUCAAAAGGAAGUCUAUAUGGAGCAACCAGCUGGGUUUGUUGCUUAGGAGAAAGUCAUAAACUCUAUCACCUUCACAAAUCCUUGUAUGGGUUGAAACAGAGUUCACGUGCAUGGUUUCGGAAAUUUAGUCAAGCACUUGAGAAGUUUGAAAUAAAGAAAAACCAAUCGGAUCACUUAGUUUUCUACGGUAGAUAUAUGAGUGGAAUUAUUAUAAUUAUUGUAUAUGUUGAUGAUAUUGUUAUAACCGAGAGUGAUACAUCAUGCAUAUUGUCUCUCAAAUCUUUCAUACUAAAGAUUUAGGAAUGCUAAAGUAUUUUUUGGACAUUGAAGCAAUGAGAAGCAAGAAAGGUAUUUUUAUGUCAUAGAGAAAAUGUGUGCUUGAUUUGUUAUCUGAGACGGGAUAAUUGGAAGCCAAGCCAUGCAGCACUCCAGUGAUGCCUGGACUACAACUCUUAAAAGAAGGAUAACCAUUUAAAGAUCCUUAGAGAUAUAGAAGACUGGUUGAGAAGUUGAAUUACAUUACAGUAACACGUCCAGACAUAGCUUAUUCGGCAUUGUGAGUCCGUUUGUCUUCACUCACAGUGAAACAUUGGGAUGCAAUACAACAGAUUCUAUGUUUUUUCAAAAAGGAGACAAACUUCUUUAUUAAUGAUAAAAUUUCAAAGUACAAGAGGUACAUACAUUAAGAAUAAUAAAGAAGCAUAAAGCAAAAAACCUAGGGGAUUAGAAAGUGCACCCAAACAUCUCAACUAGAAUGACACCCCCUUAGCACCAAAACAUCAUAUCCCAUAUUUAAGCAUGAACAAAGCAAAGAAAAUAAAAAAUAGAUAGUACAAACUAUGAAAGUCCAGCAAAAUAACAUAGGCCGAGACUAGGAAAGAAGUCUAAAAAGAUUAUGUAAAGACAGAAACAGAAACUACAGCCGUUGAAUAAUGCAAAAAUGAGGUUGGGUCCAAUACUGGAUGAAAAUUAAGAGACUGGUUGGGAGAGGAAAGCUGUCCAGUUGAGAUAAAUAUUUUAAAUAGAGUAAGCCCCGAACUCCUUGUUUAAAGAAGCCCAAGCUGCUGCACUUCUUUCUGUAGAGAGGACUUCUAAACACAACUUUUCUUUGUCAUGGAAUAUCUUCUGAUUUCUUUCAAACUACAGUUUGAAGAGGAUAGCUUUUAGCAAAUUUGACUUUUAUUCUAGGAGAGCAUAGACAAAUUCUAUGUUACCUUAAGGUUACACCUGGAUUUGAAAUCUUAUAUAAAAAUCAUGGUCAUAUGAACAUCGAACGUUUUUCAAAUGCUGAUUGGGCGGAUCAAAAGAAGACAGAAGAUUGGCUUCUAGGUGUCGUGUUUUUGUGGGAGGAAAUUUGGUUUCGUUGGAUAGUAAGAAGCAAAACGUAGUUUCACAAUGUGGCUACAUCAACUAUUGAGUGAAUUCGGUUUUAAUACUACAAUUCCAUCUAACCUAGUAUUUCAUAAGCGUACUACACACAUUGAAGUUGAUUGUCAUUUGUUCGCGAAAAAAUACAAGAUUUAGUGUCAACCGGAUAUGUGAAGACUGGAAAAGAAGUAGGAGAUAUCUUUGUAAAAGCUUUGAAAGGAGUUCGAAUAGUAUAUAUAUAAUUAUGUAACAAGUUGCGCAUGUAUAUAUACGCUCCAGCUUAAAGGGGAGUGUUAUAGUAUAUAUGUAAUUAUAGGAGCUUAUCAAUCUUUUGUCCUUUAUUGUAAUUUGCUAGUCUUUAUCUAGGGUUUCCAUGUAUGCCUAUAUAUAUUGAACUCUAUUAUAUAGAAUGCAACAGGGAGUUAUUUCAUAUUUGUUGAUAUUUCAUAUUUGUUGACUAUGUCUUGUCCCUUGGUUUGUAAUCUCAUAUAUGACGAGAAGAAACUGCCAACGUCAUUGAGAUGUCCAGGAUGUGACAAGGGUGCUCUGCGGUGUCAAUCUAGUUGAGAGGCUCAGAUGCACAUACGGAAGUCGAAAGAAGCUUUUUAUUCUUUUCUUUGAAAAGGAAACCAGACUCUUACAUUAAAAGUCGAAAGAAGCUUACUAAAAAUCAGCUGGAGAAAUGGUCAAUCAUUGUUGCAUUGUCCCUAAUGAGCUAACUUUAUUGGAUUUUACUUCGGCAUAUGUAAAAGAUGUUAGAGACAAAAGAAUGAUCAGACGACAUUGCAGGUGCAAAUCCCCACCCCCACAAAUAGUUGAGCUAAAAUGGGAAAAAAAUAUCACCA